CAAAUAGCCACGUGUUAAAGGGUCAGUCUCCAAGAUAGUUUUAUUGGCAUGUGGUAGAAUCUUUGAGCAGGAGGUUUUAGGAAAGGGUCAUUGGAAGCAGACCUUUGACAGGGAUUAUGUACAUCAGAGCUCCUUCCCCAAUCACUGUUUUGACUUCUGGGUGACUUGGUAGGCAGUCUUACUCUGCCAUACCUUCCUGCUAUACUGCCCAGCACCUUCCUCAGAAGCUUAAAAGCAAUGUGUUCACCCUACCAUAGGCUGGACCUUCUAAAGCAUGAACCAAUAUAAAACUCUUCUCCUCAUAAGUUGGUUAUUACAAGUAUUUUGUUACAAUGGUAGAAAACUAACUAAUAAAGGACAAAGGGAAUUUUGCCAAUUUAAUUUGAUUCAAAACUUGUGAACAUUUCUCACUGUUACCAACACCAAGAAAUCUUUUUUUCUGACCUAGGUAUGCAUCUUCGAAUUUUCUCCUUGAGAAAAUUCUCUGGACUCCUGGCCCAUGAAUCUUUUUUUUCUAGCAGGUCUAAUAUUGGCAAUUUCCCCUCUUUUGGGAAGGUCAAUCUUUGAUCCUAAGGAGGCCUGACUUUCAAUCUCUUUUGUCACAUUUUAGGUAAAAAAAAAAA
rnacentral:lncRNA from 1 species